rnacentral:ribozyme from 1 species
UAAGAGAGAAAGGGGAAAAAAAGAAAGGAAAAAGGGGCAGAAGAUGAGAUUUUCUGACGUUACCCUUUCCUUGUUGUUGUUGUUGUUG